GGUGAGUAACACGUGAGUAACCUGCCUUAGACAUUGGGAUAGCCUCGGGAAACCGGGAUUAAUACCAAAUAAAAUCAUAAUGACACAUGUCAUAACGAUCAAAACUCCGGUGGUCUAAGAUGGACUCGCGUCCCAUUAGCUAGUUGGUAGAGUAAAAGCCUACCAAGGCGACGAUGGGUAGCCGGCCUGAGAGGGUGAACGGCCACAUUGGAACUGAGAAACGGUCCAA
rnacentral:rRNA from 1 species